GGACCAAUCUACAUCAGAGAAGAUGGUGGUCAUUGAAGAAAGUCCACAUCGAGUUUAACUUCUUUGUGGCAAAGAGGGUGAGUCCGUGAAUGGCUGGGAGCACAGCUGCACACAGACGUGGUGCCAGAGCAGUAACUGAGAAUUUACAUCUUGAUCCACAAUCAGGAAGCAGAAAGAGAGAGACUGGCAAUGACGUGGGCUUUUAAAACCUCAAAGCCUGCCCCCAGUGACUUGCCUGCUUCAACAAGGCUGUACCUUCCAACACUUGGAGGACAGUUUCACCCGAAAGAGAACCCUGCAGUAGACUAGAUGGACACUCCCUUUGGAGGUUGCUGCACCCGCCUGCUAGACUGAGUCCCUAUUGGUGGGAUUAAACAAUAAAGCCUCGCAUUUCCA